rnacentral:rRNA from 1 species
UCUGGCUCAGGAUGAACGCUAGCUACAGGCUUAACACAUGCAAGUCGAGGGGAAACGAUAUUGGAAGCUUGCUUCCGAUAGACGUCGAUCGGCGCACGGGUGAGUAACGCGUAUCCAACCUGCCCAUCACUUGGGGAUAACCUUGCGAAAGUAAGACUAAUACCCAAUGAUAUCUCUAGAAGACAUCUGAAAGAGAUUAAAGAUUUAUCGGUGAUGGAUGGGGAUGCGUCUGAUUAGCUUGUUGGCGGGGUAACGGCCCACCAAGGCGACGAUCAGUAGGGGUUCUGAGAGGAAGGUCCCCCACAUUGGAACUGAGACACGGUCCAAACUCCUACGGGAGGCAGCAGUGAGGAAUAUUGGUCAAUGGGCGAGAGCCUGAACCAGCCAAGUAGCGUGCAGGAUGACGGCCCUAUGGGUUGUAAACUGCUUUUAUAAGGGAAUAAAGUGAGCCUCGUGAGGCUUUUUGCAUGUACCUUAUGAAUAAGGACCGGCUAAUUCCGUGCCAGCAGCCGCGGUAAUACGGAAGGUCCGGGCGUUAUCCGGAUUUAUUGGGUUUAAAGGGAGCGUAGGCCGGAGAUUAAGCGUGUUGUGAAAUGUAGAUGCUCAACAUCUGCACUGCAGCGCGAACUGUUUUCCUUGAGUACGCACAAAGUGGGCGGAAUUCGUGGUGUAGCGGUGAAAUGCUUAGAUAUCACGAAGAACUCCGAUUGCGAAGGCAGCUCACUGGAGCGCAACUGACGCUGAAGCUCGAAAGUGCGGGUAUCGAACAGGAUUAGAUACCCUGGUAGUCCGCACGGUAAACGAUGGAUGCCCGCUGUUGGUCUGAAUAGGUCAGCGGCCAAGCGAAAGCAUUAAGCAUCCCACCUGGGGAGUACGCCGGCAGCGGUGCAACUCAAAUGAAUUGACG